rnacentral:misc_RNA from 1 species
GAUGAAGAACGUAGCGAAAUGCGAUACGUAAUGUGAAUUGCAGAAUUCAGUGAAUCAUCGAAUCUUUGAACGCAUAUUGCGCUCUCUGGUAUUCCGGAGAGCAUGCUUGUUUGAGUAUCAGUAAACACCUCAACUUCCAUAUCUUUUUUGAAAUGGGAGUUGGACUUGAGUGAUCCCAACGCUUUUCCUCACCGAAAAGUGGCGGGUUACUUGAAAUGCAGGUGCAGCUGGACUUUUCUCUGAGCUAUAAGCAUAUCUAUUUAGUCUGCCUAAAAAACAGAUUAUUACCUUUGCUGCAGCUAACAUAAAGGAGAUUAGUUCUUGUGCUGACUGAUGCAGGAUUCACGAAGACAGGCUUCGGCCGACUUUGUAAACUCGAUCUCAAAUCAAGUAAGACUACCCGCUGAACUUAAGCAUAUCAAUAAGCGGAGGA